rnacentral:rRNA from 1 species
UACGUAGGGCGCAAGCGUUGUCCGGAAUUAUUGGGCGUAAAGAGCUCGUAGGCGGCUUGUCACGUCGGGUGUGAAAGCCCGGGGCUUAACCCCGGGUCUGCAUUCGAUACGGGCUGGCUAGAGUGUGGUAGGGGAGAUCGGAAUUCCUGGUGUAGCGGUGGAAUGCGUAGAGAUCGGGAAGAACAUCAGUGGCGAAGGCGGCCUGCUGGGCUGUUGCUGACGCUGAGGCGCGACAGCGUGGGGAGCAAACAGG